AUUGAACGCUGGCGGCAGGCCUAGCACAUGCAAGUCGAACGGCAGCGGGGGAUAGCUUGCUAUCCUGCCGGCGAGUGGCGGACGGGUGAGUAAUGCAUGGGGAGCUGCCCAGUCGAGGGGGAUAACAACUGGAAACGGUUGCUAAUACCGCAUACGCCCUAAGGGGGAAAGGUGGGGAACUUCGGUCCUACCGCGAUUGGAUGCGCCCAUGUGGGAUUAGCUAGUUGGUGAGGUAACGGCUCACAAGGCGACGAUCUCUAGCUGGUCUGAGAGGAUGACCAGCCACACUGGAACUGAGACACGGUCCAGACUCCUACGGGAGGCAGCAGUGGGGAAUAUUGCACAAUGGGGGAAACCCUGAUGCAGCCAUGCCGCGUGUGUGAAGAAGGCCUUCGGGUUGUAAAGCACUUUCAGUCAGGAGGAAGGGGUGAUGGCUAAUAUCCAUCAUCAUUGACGUUACUGACAGAAGAAGCACCGGCUAACUACGUGCCAGCAGCCGCAGUAA
rnacentral:rRNA from 1 species